GCAUCAGGACACCCUGAGAGUCCCCACUCCACUUGUACAGUGACGUAGAAGCACUUUCACUAAUGCUAGAGGAGAGAGCAGCCUGGUCUUCGGAACUUGUACCAUCAUGCUCUCUCUGUCCUCCUCAGAAAAUGAGCCCAAAAGCAAAACAAGUGGGUCCAAAAGCAAGAGGCAGGAGCUGCGGCCAGCCAGUCCAACCUCCCCCGAAGCUGCAUGGCCUGAGGGUGUCUUCUUCUUCUUCUACAGUGGAAGCCUAAACUGAAGAGGAGAUCUCAUCACAACUUACAGAAAAACAUACGUCAGAGUGUGGGGUAUUCUCAAAUUUAGCAGUUUGCCACUAACUGUGACCAUGGUCCUGCAGUUUUAGGGAAGAACAAGACAGACCUAAGCAGUGUUGAAGGCCAACUUUGCCUUCCUGACCAGUUUCUACUCUAUUCUAUAAAGAUUCCAAAAAAGACACCAGCAACAAGGCCAGGUGUGGUGGCUCACACCUGUAAUCUCAGCACUUUGGGAGGCCAAGGCAGGUGUACCACCUGAGGUCAGGAGUUCGAGACCAGCCUGGCCAACAUGGUGAAUCCCUAUCUCUACCAAAAUAUAAAAGUUAGACUGGCAAAGUGUUGUGCGCCUGUAAUCCCAGCUACGUGGGAGGCUGAAGCAAGAGAAUCACUUGAACCCAGGAGGCAGAGGUUGUAGUGAGCAGAGAUUAUGCUCAAAAAAAAAAAAAAAAAAAAGACAUGGCAACAAGAGCGAACCCAUUCAUUCUGAUAUUAGUAGAUUAUGCUAAUUGUAGCCUGUCUCGUAGGUGUGCAUUGCUAUUUCAGGAUGGUUUUAUUUGAGAAUAAAUGAUAUUGAGCACUUUUCAUGUUCUUUAUAGCUUUUAUCUCAUUCUUUUUAGAGAAUUGUUUACUUAAGUUUAUUGCCCAUUUGGGUGGGUUUACCUGUCUUUUCAAAAGUGUAAGAAUUCUUUGCAUAUCCUGUGUAUAGGUCAUUUUGUUAUAUGUGUUGAAAAUAUCUUCUGUUUUGUGACUUGAGUUUUUACUCUUACUGGUUUCUUUUGAUUACUCAAAUUUCGUAGUCUUAGUGAAAUCAAUUUUUCUCAGUCUUUUUCAUUAUGAUUAAUACUUUUGAAAUAUAUUUAAAAAUUCUUUGCAUACCCAAAAGUCAUGAAACUAUUUUCUUUAGUUAUAUUUGAGAGUGGUGUUAUUAUUUAUGUUGUACAUUUAAACAUAUCUGUGUAUCGUGUAAAGUAGGAGCAUAAAUAUCUAAUUGAUCUAUCACAAUUUAUUGACAUUUUAUCAUUUUCCCGGGAUUCUUUAUUAUACAUCAACAAACUUGACACCUUUGUCAUACACGGGUUAUCGUGUGUCAGUCUAUCCUUGACUCUGUUCUGUUUAAUCAGUCUGUUAAUCUAUGGAUACUUUACUGUAUUAUUUCUUAUAGCUUUACUGCUAGUCUGGCUAUCUAGAGGCCCUCCCAUUCGUUCUUUUUCAAGAUUGUCUUAGCUAUUCUUGGCCUUUUAAGUUCCACAUACAUUUCAGAAUCAACUUAUGGUUCUCCAAAAAUCUUGCAAGUAGAUUGAUGAAAAUUUUAUUGGAUCUAUAUUUGAGGAAAAUUGCUGUUUGUAUCUUUCAAUCCAUGAAUAGUUCUUUAUUUAUUUGGUCCUUUUGUAGGCUUUAGUCACGUGCCACCUUGUCUAGGUUGCCCAGUUAUUCAGACAAACACUAAUCUAAUGGUUGCUGUGAAAUAAUUUUGCAAAUGCAGUUAAAGCCCUGAUCAGUUGACAGGAAGUAAGAGAGGCUGUGCUGAAUAAUCCGGGCAGCUUGGAUGAAAUCUGUUGGAAGGCUUUAAAAGCAGGACUGAGGUUUCCCCAGGAGAAGGAAGACACAUCAGCUGUGGAUGAGAGCCUCAGACAUGCCACGUGCUUGCUUUGUGAUUUCCUUCCCUGUGGGUUUUUCCCAGGCCAAGCAGUCCCCACAAAUUUAUAAGCCAAUCCCUUGUUUUACUUUUUACCCCUUCGGGAAGACAGUAUGUUGUGCUAAGGGCUAUGUCAUCAAAUUCCAUCACUGCUGAUGUGUAAUAAAUAUUUGCAGUUGCAAGUCACUGAGAUGUUACCUUUGCUAUGCAGAAAAGGUCAUCAAUACACAGCUUCCACCUUGGGACAUUAUUCUUCUGCCUGUAGAGCACCUUCGUGUAGGCAUGUUGGGAAUAUAAUCUUUCAAUUUUGUUAAUCUGAAAACUUUUUUACCUUACCUUAAUUUUAUUUUAUUUUUAUUGAGAUAUAAUAAAUAUAGAAAUUGAUGAAUUUUCACAGGGUUAAUCCUCGAUGGCCAGGACCCAGACGGAGAAGUCUAACACGCUCAGCAUCACAGAAGUUCCUGUGCAACGCCCUCUGGAGGGGAAGCACUUUCCAAGUUCAUGGACAUCCUGACUAAUUAUUGAUCAAUUUUGCCUAUUUCUGAACUUGAGGUAAAGGGAGUCAUGCAGUGUGCAUCGUUUAUAGAAUUUGCUUUGUUCGCUAAUACUU
ensembl:lncRNA